rnacentral:rRNA from 1 species
CCGUAUUAGCUAGUGGUAAGGUAACGGCUUACCAAGGCAACGAUACGUAGCCGACCUGAGAGGGUGAUCGGCCACACUGGAACUGAGACACGGUCCAGAUUCCUACGGGAGGCAGCAGUAGGGAAUCUUCCGCAAUGGGCGAAAGCCUGACGGAGCAACGCCGCGUGAGUGAUGAAGGUCUUCGGAUCGUAAAACUCUGUUAUUAGGGAAGAACAAGUGCGUAGGUAACUAUGCGCACCUUGACGGUACCUAAUCAGAAAGCCACGGCUAACUACGUGCCAGCAGCCGCGGUAAUACGUAGGUGGCAAGCGUUAUCCGGAAUUAUUGGGCGUAAAGCGCGCGUAGGCGGUUUUUUAAGUCUGAUGUGAAAGCCCACGGCUCAACCGUGGAGGGUCAUUGGAAACUGGAAAACUUGAGUGCAGAAGAGGAAAGUGGAAUUCCAUGUGUAGCGGUGAAAUGCGCAGAGAUAUGGAGGAACACCAGUGGCGAAGGCGACUUUCUGGUCUGCAACUGACGCUGAUGUGCGAAAGCGUGGGGAUCAAACAGGAUUAGAUACCCUGGUAGUCCACGCCGUAAACGAUGAGUGCUAAGUGUUAGGGGGUUUCCGCCCCUUAGUGCUGCAGCUAACGCAUUAAGCACUCCGCCUGGGGAGUACGGCCGCAAGGCUGAAACUCAAAGGAAUUGACGGGGACCCGCACAAGCGGUGGAGCAUGUGGUUUAAUUCGAAGCAACGCGAAGAACCUUACCAAAUCUUGACAUCCUUUGACCGCUCUAGAGAUAGAGUCUUCCCCUUCGGGGGACAAAGUGACAGGUGGUGCAUGGUUGUCGUCAGCUCGUGUCGUGAGAUGUUGGGUUAAGUCCCGCAACGAGCGCAACCCUUAAGCUUAGUUGCCAGCAUUAAGUUGGGCACUCUAAGUUGACUGCCGGUGACAAACCGGAGGAAGGUGGGGAUGACGUCAAAUCAUCAUGCCCCUUAUGAUUUGGGCUACACACGUGCUACAAUGGACAGUACAAAGGGCAGCGAAACCGCGAGGUCAAGCAAAUCCCAUAAAGCUGUUCUCAGUUCGGAUUGUAGUCUGCAACUCGACUACAUGAAGCUGGAAUCGCUAGUAAUCGUAGAUCAGCAUGCUACGGUGAAUACGUUCCCGGGUCUUGUACACACCGCCCGUCACACCACGAGAGUUCGUAACACCCGAAGCCGGUGGAGUAACCUUUAGGAGCUAGCCGUCG